CCUAUGAAGCUUUACUGUAACUUGAAAUUGAAAUUGGACUUUAUUUGCGCAGUAUAGGUGGGAGGCAUUGAAAAUUUUCUUGUGGGAAAAUUGGAGCCAACAGUGAGAUACCACUCUAAUAAAGUUAGAUUUCUAACUUUAUAUCAUUAUCUGGUUAAAGAACAGUUUCAGGCGGGCAGUUUGACUGGGGCGGUCGCCUCCCAAAUGGUAACGGAGGCGUACAAAGGUUUCCUCUGAACGGGUAGAAAUCGUCUCUAGAGUAUAAAGGCAAGAAGGAAGCUUGACUGUGAGACUUACAAGUCGAGCAGGGACGAAAGUCGGUCUUAGUGAUCUGGCGGUGCUGAGUGGAAAGG
rnacentral:rRNA from 1 species